CGAGUCUCUGUGGUAGCGCCGGCGUCGGUAGCGGCGGUAGCGGCAGCCGUUUAGGAGUGAGGGUUCCAACUUUCAUACCGCUUUGAGCGGUAUUUGGCUUGGAGGGUCGCGAUGUCAGAGAAAAAACAGCCGGUAGACUUGGGUCUUCUAGAGGAGGACGACGAGUUCGAGGAGUUCCCUGCCGAAGACUGGGCUGGUUUAGACGAAGAUGAGGAUGCACAUGUCUGGGAGGAUAAUUGGGAUGAUGACAAUGUAGAGGAUGACUUCUCCAAUCAGUUACGAGCUGAACUAGAGAAACAUGGUUAUAAGAUGGAGACUUCAUAGCAUCCAAAAGAAGUAUUCAAGUAGCCUAAACUUGAACUGUAUACUAAAUUCUAGAACCAGAGAACCAAGGAUGGAAUACUUUAAGAAAGCAUUUAUUUCAUUAUCUACUUGGAUUUAUUUUUGUUUUUGUAACACAAAAUAAAUGUUUUGAUCUAA